GGCGGGGCCAACGCGAGCGCUCUGACUCCGCCCCCACCCAUCUUCGUCCUCUCCCUCCGCGAGUCCGCAGGAACGGCGCUGGGUAGUUUCUGCAGCCUCCGGGCUUGGAGGCUGGGCGGCGGCAGAAGCCGCUUGGUUUAGGGUUUUGCGCUCCCCAGUGGUGGAGCAGCGCUCUGGUGGUUAAUAGUGCCAGUCAGGGCAAGAGGAGCACCAACAGCCCAGGCAGUGAGGGCCCUGGUGAAUCCCUGGAGCAUGAGAUUUCUGUGUUCUGAAAGGUGUGUUCAUUUUGCUGUGGACAGAGGGGCUGGGACUCUCGACCACCGGGAAAUUGCUAUUGUCGAGGGUGGUGGGAAGGCAGCUGUUCAGAAGUUUUCGCUGGGUCUCCAGGGCAUGGCCGCUCAGGACACUGAGCCUCCAGCCCCCGUAGCUUCUGUGUGGGCAAUCAUAUUUCCCCCUAAGCUUGCUGAAGCCAGGUUGGGACUUUUUAAAAGGACACCUCACUAAAACGAAGAAGGAAAAAAAAUGCAAACGCACAGGGACAUACGACUUCAGAUGCCUGGAUUUCUCUUCCAAGAUAACAAAAAGCCAGUCACAAAUUAACCUGAGGUCCUGAAGUCUUUCCCUGUGUCUAGGAUUCCUUCAGCUCUAUGAAGCCCCAAAAGGUGAUGGCUUAAUAUCUCCUCUCCUCAUCCCAAGAAAUUAACUUUUCUGGGUUAACUUUGCCCCUUGACAGUCAGACUCUAAGAAUCUCACCUUUUUUCUCUUUUGGGAAGGAAAGCUUUGGCUUUCCUAUUCAGUAUGACCAACUAAGAGAGGGGAUUUUCAGAAGCCAGGCAUCUGAGGGAAUGGCACAGGCAGUCCAAAAAUAGGAUAUUCUGGAGCUAGACAAAAGAGAGACUUAGGGGAACAUCUUAAGAACACUUGGGGGGCCAUUGAUCCCAGGCACAUCAAGCCUUCUCUGUAGCUGAAAUCAAUAAAAGUAUAACCUCUGUUCUGUAGGGAGGAGAGUCCAUGACAGUUAUGAGACUUAGAAAGACUGUGUAUACUAAAUAUUAGAAGCCACAAACAUUCCAAAGUCUUCCCUUAACCUUUGAGAAAAUAGGGACCCAGAGUGCGAAGUGACUUCAGUACAGUUCAAACAGCUGAUUGGUAGACUUUCAACUUGCAGUCCAAUGUUCCCUAUGCGCCGCCACUAAAGAGACAAGCUGGGGGGAAGAGGGAGCUCAGGGUUGGCUCGCCGGACAGGAGGGGACCACUGUCGUAGUAGAAGAGGCAAGUUGCCAAGUCGAGCCUGGAGCAGCUGACUUGUUUAUUCGUGCUUCUCUGGCUCCUUGGCCAGGGUGGUCCAAACCAACCGCUCUCAGCCUGAGUACUCUUCUCCUCGUGAAGACUUGUACCUCAGCUGUGCUGGGUGCCUUGGGACAUACUGGGAGCAGUGUGCCCAGAAGGAGAAAG